GCUCCGAUAGCUCAGUGGUAGAGCACUCCCUUGGUAAGGGAGAGGCCCCGGGUUCAAAUCCCGGUCGGAGCU
rnacentral:tRNA from 1 species